rnacentral:rRNA from 1 species
ACGCUGGCGGUAGGCUUAACACAUGCAAGUCGUGCGAGAAAGUAUCUUCGGAUAUGAGUAGAGCGGCGGACGGGUGAGUAACGCGUAGGAAUCUACCUAGUAGAAGGGGAUAGCCCGAGGAAACUCGGAUUAAUACCGUAUACCUCCUUCGGGAGAAAGAAGGCCUCUCUUUGAAGCUUUCGCUACUAGAUGAGCCUGCGUAAGAUUAGCUUGUUGGUGAGGUAAAGGCUCACCAAGGCUACGAUCUUUAGCGGGUCUGAGAGGACGAUCCGCCACAUUGGGACUGAGACACGGCCCAGACUCCUACGGGAGGCAGCAGUGGGGAAUAUUGGACAAUGGGCGAAAGCCUGAUCCAGCCAUACCGCGUGUGUGAAGAAGGCCCUAGGGUUGUAAAGCACUUUAAGUUGGGAAGAAAAGUUAUUGGUUAAUACCCAAUGACCGUGACAUUACCAUCAGAAUAAGGACCGGCUAAUUCCGUGCCAGCAGCCGCGGUAAUACGGAAGGUCCAAGCGUUAAUCGGAAUUACUGGGCGUAAAGCGCGCGUAGGUGGUUUAUUAAGUUGGGUGUGAAAUCCCCGGGCUCAACCUGGGAACUGCAUCCAAAACUGAUUCACUAGAGUACGAUAGAGGGAGGUAGAAUUCACAGUGUAGCGGUGGAAUGCGUAGAUAUUGUGAAGAAUACCAAUGGCGAAGGCAGCCUCCUGGAUCUGUACUGACACUGAGGUGCGAAAGCGUGGGUAGCGAACAGGAUUAGAUACCCUGGUAGUCCACGCCGUAAACGAUGUCAACUAUCUGUUGGAAAGCAUUGCUUUUCAGUGGAGCAGCUAACGUAAUAAGU